UACGAAGGGGGCUAGCGUUGCUCGGAAUCACUGGGCGUAAAGGGUGCGUAGGCGGGUCUUUAAGUCAGGGGUGAAAUCCUGGAGCUCAACUCCAGAACUGCCUUUGAUACUGAAGAUCUUGAGUUCGGGAGAGGUGAGUGGAACUGCGAGUGUAGAGGUGAAAUUCGUAGAUAUUCGCAAGAACACCAGUGGCGAAGGCGGCACUCUGGGACGGUACUGACGCUGAGACGCGAAAGCGUGGGGAGCGAACAGG
rnacentral:rRNA from 1 species